GCGCCAAAACCGCUGGGAAUAAGAAAAAUAUCCUUUUUUCUUGCGUCAUAUCAUCCGAUAGUUUUCCCGAAUACUUCCGAUUCUGCUCAAAAUUGUCUUAUACAUCACUCACUACGACUAUAUAAAAUCCAAUGCCGAUGUAUAAAAUAUCGUAGUCUAGUGCGGUUUACGUUUCCGACUUUUUCGUGCAUUAAAACCACUGCCAAUAAGAAAAUAUCCUUUUUCUUGAGGAAUAUCGUCCGAUAUUCGUGCUCGACAGGAAAACAAGU